rnacentral:lncRNA from 1 species
UGUCAGUUUUUGAACAUGUGAAAUCAACGUAGUAUCAGAUGAAACUUAAUAUAAGAAAUUCUUUGUGAGAUGACUCUAAGGACGACGUGAUUGGUGUAAUCCUACUCAAGUUUAUCUUUAUCAUUUUAUGCAUGAAUCUAAAUAUGAAAAAUCAGUUCUUUAAAACGAGUGGAAACAAAUUUUACUCUCAUUUUAGCUGAGAUAAUUAAAAUUGUGAUUGCAUUCACUCCACCCACUUUGAUGUUAUAUACAGAAGGAAUCUAAGGACCCCAUGUUGACAAGCAUUAUUUCUUUAUGCUCCCUUGUCAAAUUUUCUCUACAGAAAAAGGCCCUUGUAUGCAAUUAUUUAUUUCUACCCCAAGUGUUGAACCAAUGAUUACUAUCACUACACUUAAUGCUAAAUACAAUCGUUUAGACAAUUAUCGAGUUGGUGGGUGAAUGUAGCCACCUCAAAUUUCAAUCACUACUUUUUAGUCAAGAUAGUUUCUGAAAUUGUCAUAACUCUACAUUUUGGUUCAUGAGAUUUAAAAUCGAUAAAACUGAUCUCUGAGAUUGUCCAUUGUCAAUCACUUUGGUCUUUAUGUGAAAAAUCUCCUAUAAUUGAAGAAACCACUAGUUCAAUGGAGGGAUUGAUUUGACAAAAAUACCCUCAAUUUAACAAAAAUUUCUCAUAGAAUAACCAAAAUGAUUGAUAAUGAAUGCUCUCAGGAAUCACUUCUAUCGAUUUUAAAUCUCAAAGACCAAAAACCAAAAUGAUGAGUUAUGUCAAUCUCAAAUAUAUUUUUUUUUUGAUAAAAAGCCCACUUGAUACUUAAAUACUUAAUAACAUUGGCUUUAUAAAGAGGGAAUAGUAAUGAUUAAAGGCCAAGGGAAGGGAAGGGAUGCUCUUCAUCAUUCAUGUAUGGGAGUUGUUGGCGUGGGAGUCGUCUUCUUUCUUGCUUUCGAGUGUCCCCAGUCACUUAGCAAUUUGCAUGCCCAAAAGCCAAAAGUGAUCGACUGCCAGGCACUGCUGACCACAAAAUGAAAGGUUAACUAGUAUGGUAUCUUGUUUAAUUGAUCUUACGCUAAAUCAACGUUAUCUUUAUAUAACAGAGAAAUCGAGAUACGAUACUCAUAGAUUUUACGAUGGUUUUUGUAGAAUUUUGUAAAACCGAUUAAAAUACUGCCUCUUAAUAGAGCAAAUGAACGAGGAGAGUUUAUAACAGAAGUUGCAAAGACUCCUCUGUGCGUUGGUUAGGAUCGUUUUCUGAGUAAUAAGCAAAACAAAAAUCUUAACGCUCGAGGGACACUAAAAGACUAGAUGAAACUCCAAGCAGAAUCCUCAUCUGAGCACUUAAUCAUAAGCAAAUUUAACAGUAGAACCUCCAUUAGAAGAACCCAGAUGCAGGUAUCACUUACCAGGUAUAUUCCUUUCCAAAUCAGCCGGGUUACUAAUAAUCCUCAGUUUUGAUAAACCAAAUAUUCAGGAUCCUUCUCCACGUCAGCAAUCCAUGGUAAAGGACUCUCCAAGUCAGCAAUCUCAACACCAACAUUUUGAAUUAAUCAACUCGCCGUCAUCAAGUCAGCUACACAAGUUGGAUACCUCUUCAAACUCUUCAACAGAUAGAAAGGAAUCACAAUCCUUCCUUAUCUAAAACUCCUGUGUAACUUAGUUUUGAAUUUCAAAUGUAAUCAACUAAUAUGUUUAUACUGUAACCUUAUCUUGUAAUCUAUAUAUAAUGAAGUCCAUACCUCACUCAUAAUCAAUUGAGUUGAGCUUAUGCAAUCAAUAUUUACUGUUGGAAAAUAGUUAUUUAUUUACACUAUGUUUGGAUGAAGAAAUUUAAGAUUACCAAAAAAUUUUAAAAUGAUGGAAAUUGAAUUGAUAGGAUUUUAUUUUCUAGAAUUUGUGAAUUUUCUUGUUUAGUUAGCCUAAAAGAACAAUGGAAUUGAAUACGGAAUUUGUUAUACUUAAGCUCUCUCAAUCAUAGAAAUUAGAAAAUGACACCUAUGUACAUGAAAUUUAAACUUGGGAAUUGGAGGUCUCAAAUUCCAAGUUUUUUUUUUCACGCGGAAAUUCUAAAUUUCUAUGUAUAUGAAUCCAAAUAAGAGAAUUCGUGCAUAUCAAUUUACAAAUUCUAAUUUUUAUCUAAAUUUCAAGUUUAUUUUCUUCAUCCAAAUGUAGUGUUAUUGUUUAGAUUUGGGCUUAAGCUCAUUAGAAUUAGGUUUUCGUUUCCUUGCUUAUUAGGGACUAGGGUUAGUUUAUUAUAAAUAGAGAACUUUGUUAUUCAGAGAUAAUAAGUCAGUCAAGAUGUAGUCUCUUCGGUUCAUGUUGCCUUCUUGGCAAUUUCAUUUAAUAAAGUUUUAUAUUCAGUUAGUUCGUUUGUUUGUUGCGUACUCUGAUAUUCAACUUUUCCAACCCUAGCUUAAAUUCUUUCAAGUACAUCAUCGGCUUGAAGAACCUACAAAAGCAUCACAAAUUUCUAUCCAACGAGUAAAGUAAGCUAAGCUACGGUUUCAUAAAUUUCAUUUAAAAAGAUAGGC